rnacentral:lncRNA from 1 species
UGAGUGUUAGUUUUAAAUAGACUAUUGACAAAUUACAGAUUUUUUUCACGUAUUGAAAUUAUAUUCCAGAUGAUUUUGAGAUUUACUGGUAUAAUAUUCUCCUCAUGAGGUAGGAUGGAAGGGAAGAAAUAGAGAAAAAAUGUUCUGCUCUGAAAUAAAUGUGGUGUUUCCUGACAGCGUUUGUCAAGAAGGAAAGGUCGAAAAUAAAGCACUGAUGGAAAUACAUGAUAAAUAAGAGAUGGGGUUCCACCAUGUAGCCCCGGCUGGUCUUGAGCUCAUGAGCUCAAGCGAUUCACCUGCCUCAGCCUCCCAAAGUGCUGGGAUUACAAGUGUGAGCCACCAUUCCUGCCUCUAUACCUCUAAAGGUGUUGAAUAAUUUGAAUGGGAAUUUGAAGGUCCAUGGCUUCCAAACCAGCAGGAGUUAAGGCUUAAUUGCUUGGAAAUACAUUUUCAUGGCUGAUACCAGUAACAGAAAAAUGUCUGUAUGUCAAGAGGCUCUGUACUAAUCAGUUAACCAUAACAUGUGCCACCCCAUACCUUGGGCCAAUGUAACUGUUAACAGCUUGAAGCUAUUAAAAAUGUACCAAUGGA